rnacentral:rRNA from 1 species
CGCGGCCUAUCAGCUUGUUGGUGGGGUAAUGGCCUACCAAGGCGACGACGGGUAGCCGGCCUGAGAGGGUGGACGGCCACACUGGGACUGAGACACGGCCCAGACUCCUACGGGAGGCAGCAGUGGGGAAUAUUGCACAAUGGGCGCAAGCCUGAUGCAGCGACGCCGCGUGGGGGAUGAAGGCCUUCGGGUUGUAAACCUCUUUCAGUAGGGAAGAAGCGAAAGUGACGGUACCUGCAGAAGAAGCGCCGGCUAACUACGUGCCAGCAGCCGCGGUAAUACGUAGGGCGCAAGCGUUAUCCGGAAUUAUUGGGCGUAAAGAGCUCGUAGGCGGUUUGUCGCGUCUGCCGUGAAAGUCCGAGGCUUAACCUCGGAUCUGCAGUGGGUACGGGCGGACUAGAGUGCGGUAGAGGAGACCGGAAUUCCUGGUGUAGCGGUGGAAUGCGCAGAUAUCAGGAGGAACACCGGUGGCGAAGGCGGAUCUCUGGGCCGUAACUGACGCUGAGGAGCGAAAGCAUGGGGAGCGAACAGGCUUAGAUACCCUGGUAGUCCAUGCCGUAAACGUUGGGCGCUAGGUGUGGGGUCCUAUCCACGGAUUCCGUGCCGCAGCUAACGCAUUAAGCGCCCCGCCUGGGGAGUACGG